GUGUAGCUCAGAGGUAGAGUGCUUGCCUAACAUAUAUGAAGCUCUGGGUUAAAUCCCCAGCAC
rnacentral:tRNA from 1 species